UGAGGAAUAUUGGUCAAUGGGCGCAAGCCUGAACCAGCCACGUCGCGUGAAGGAAGACGGCCCUACGGGUUGUAAACUUCUUUUGCAAGGGAAUAAAGUGGGCCACGUGUGGCCUUUUGCAAGUACCUUGCGAAUAAGGAUCGGCUAACUCCGUGCCAGCAGCCGCGGUAAUACGGAGGAUCCGAGCGUUAUCCGGAUUUAUUGGGUUUAAAGGGUGCUCAGGCGGGACAUUAAGUCGGCGGUGAAAUUUUGCGGCUCAACCGUAAAAGUGCCUUCGAAACUGGUAUCCUUGAGUGUGGAUGAGGUAGGCGGAAUUUGUGGUGUAGCGGUGAAAUGCAUAGAUAUCACGAGGAACUCCGAUUGCGCAGGCAGCUUACUAAGCCAUAACUGACGCUCAAGCACGAAGGCGUGGGGAUCAAACA
rnacentral:rRNA from 1 species